GUCAAAUGCAGAAUUUAUGCGUGCAUAAAGCCCAUUACGCAUCUUCAGAGAAUGUAUCUCCUGAUCAAAACACAUACGAGGAAGAUGCUCAAAACAAGCAGUAUCACGCAGUAUGUAAUCAUUUGCAUAUGUAAAAUAACGUGAUCACAAAAAUUAAACAGCAUAUAGGCUAAAUCAAAUCUGUCAACGUUGUACUGAAUAAAAUGUAGACCCAAAACGGUCUGUAGGACUGUGCAAGCAUGGGCUCGUCUGAAUAUCCUAUGAUCCAGAAAUGAGAAACCACUUUUUUCAAACGUGAUUUACUUGCAAAAUGUUGCUUUUUUCAAAUUAAACUUGUGUUGAUAAAAAAAGAAUGGAUUAAGCUAGAAUAAAACGUUUUAAGGUUGUUGUUUUUUUAAGCAGAGGGCCUGUUCUUUGUUUUGAUAGGCUAUUGCAUAGAUAGAUAUUCAUACGACAAUAUUAGGGGCCAUGACAUUUUGUGAAAAAAAUUAUCAAAAAUGCUGGCAGGGAAAAAGUUCAUAUGUGCCAUUUUGACUGCUGUUAACAUCCUCCUGUGAAUUAAUAGAAAAAAACUGGCCAGAUGCAUCACAGCAGUGAAUGAUGAUGUGACAUUUUGGUGUUGUUUUUUAAAAUUUACUGCCAAGAUAAUAGGCUAACUAAAUGUAUAUUCAUAGACUAACUUAACUAGAUUUGCGAUGAUGGUGAUAACUGAAAACGCGUCAUCACAGUAAACCUUGUUUAUUGAACUCGUAACCCUGCUGUUGCACUAAAUCCCGGCUAUUAUCAGCAUCAGCACUCUUACUCGUGUGAUGCUGCUUCAUUUUUGCUUUUUAUCUCAGGUAGAAAUCUUGCUAAGUUGACGAGGUUUAAAAGUGCGGAACUGUCCCGGCUCUAGUCACUCAGUGGGUGUUUUUUUUUAUGGGACCAGAGGGCAACAGUGCGUCUGUUUACCCGAGGGCAGAGGUGGACACUAACAAGUAUAUGAGUAGGCUACUGUACUUAAGUACACUUUUUGAGCAUCUGUAGCCUACUUGAGAAUUAUUUUUUCUAGAAACAUUUUAUUUUAACUUCAGGACCUUCAUCAAGGACCUUGAGUAGAAAGUACUAACAUCAGUCAGGGGGUGAUUUUGGCCCUUGGGGUUGCAUUUUUGUUGGAAAUCAAUGUCAAGUUGAUGUUAGAACCCGACUGAUGUUGAUUUCUGACAUCAAGACGAAUUUCAUUUUCAAACACAACACAACGUCUGUCCGACGUUGGGUGUUGACGUCAAUCUGGCUUUGGAUUCUAUCAUCAGUCUGAUUUUCACUUUCAACGUUGGGUUUUGUCUUCUAAAUGCAAGUGUUGUCAUUGUUUUGGAGCACAUUACAGUGGGGCUAACAUAAUACUAAGAGCCAAAACACUUUAAAAGAAGGGGCAUUAUUUGAGCGUCGCAAAUAGCUAUUUGGGUGUCCAAAACCAUUGUGGAGGUUAUUGAGUACACUUAUUCAAUUCAAUUGAGUACACUGAAAUGGUGUUCUAGAAAUACAUUUGAUAUUGAAAUGAGGGUAUGUUGGCAGGCAUAGAUUCAGAGGCAAACAAUGCAUUGACAUUUACUUUUGAUACUUAAGUACUUUUAAAAGCAAGUACUUCUGUACUUUACAAAUCAGUCUUUACAACUUUUCCUUGUAACAGAGUAAUAUUUGACCAGUAGGCCUAGUAUCUGUACUUUCACUCAAGGAAGGAAGUAGUGUACUUUGUCCAUCCAGUGAGCCGCUGAGCUGCUUUUGUCCGUUUCCCCUGUUGAUUUCCCCUUCGUACAUGGCAGAAAUGCAACAUUGUGUAACCAGCUAAAAUAUUAUGAGAGACUUUUGCCAGUAUUUACAAAGACAAAAACGGUUUCUCCGAUCUGUACACUCUGGAUACAUUGUUAAAUCUCUUAACAACACCAGCCUAAGAGGAAUAAUUGACAAGUUUCAUUUCUAUUGUUCAUUUACAGAGGCCCUAGUUGCAUAGCCUAACAUGCAUAGUAGUGUGGAAAGAGAAGUUGGUUUAGGCUUCAAAACUACAUUGUUUUUUGGGGGGGCUUUUUUUUAAUGUCUCGUAGGGUACUUGGAAUAUUUUGUUAAACAUUUCCUCUUAUAUGAUGAUAGAAUUUACAUUUGUGGCUGAACAGUUUCUUUUCUCAGUUAACAGUUUACAUGAGAAAUGUUCCUGCUGUGCUGUGCCAACAUGUUGAACGAUUGUACUUCCUGUAGAGAAGUUAGAAGCCAUAAUUCUGUACUAUUGAAUAACUCUCUGUAAAGGGUUUUUCUUUCCAACACAUUAAGUAGGGUAAUUUGAUGAGUCAAAUGUUAACGCACUGGAUUAUGCUCUACUGCAGUCAUUGUUUAAUGAUUGCUGUGCAAUUACUGAUAUUUCAGAUUAUAUUUAAUGAAAUGAGACUGUAUUUUUCAUAUGUCUGUUGUUGCACAGGAAUGUUGGAAAUAAGUGGGAUAAUUUUACUCAAUGAUGUUGAUUGCUCUUGUGUCGAAUUCAGAGGAGAAGUUUAUAGUUUAUUGAUAAUUUAUCAUUUGUGCAGGAAGUGACUUGUUUGUAUGGAACAUGUAUUUGAGAAAAAUAAAUUCAGACUUUUUCUUCUCA